rnacentral:ncRNA from 1 species
ACAAAGUCAGUGAUGAAGAGAGUAGAUUUGAAUAUUUUCUCCAGCGAGCCGGGGCAGAGUGGAAGCCCGGCAGUAAAAUAUCAGAUUGAAGCGCACUUCGGAUGACGAAAAGGUGAACAUUGAGUAGCCUUUUACGCACUUUAUGCGUUAAUUUAAUCGAGGUGGAUUUGUUGUUUCACAGCAGAUCAACUAGAGUGGUACCGCGGAAUCAAACAUUGACCCGUCUCUUGU